rnacentral:rRNA from 1 species
GAUGAACGCUGGCGGCGUGCCUAAUACAUGCAAGUCGAACGCACAGCGAAAGGUGCUUGCACCUUUCAAGUGAGUGGCGAACGGGUGAGUAACACGUGGACAACCUGCCUCAAGGCUGGGGAUAACAUUUGGAAACAGAUGCUAAUACCGAAUAAAACUUAGUGUCGCAUGACACAAAGUUAAAAGGCGCUUCGGCGUCACCUAGAGAUGGAUCCGCGGUGCAUUAGUUAGUUGGUGGGGUAAAGGCCUACCAAGACAAUGAUGCAUAGCCGAGUUGAGAGACUGAUCGGCCACAUUGGGACUGAGACACGGCCCAAACUCCUACGGGAGGCUGCAGUAGGGAAUCUUCCACAAUGGGCGAAAGCCUGAUGGAGCAACGCCGCGUGUGUGAUGAAGGCUUUCGGGUCGUAAAGCACUGUUGUAUGGGAAGAACAGCUAGAAUAGGAAAUGAUUUUAGUUUGACGGUACCAGACCAGAAAGGGACGGCUAAAUACGUG